CCUACGGGAGGCAGCAGUCGAGAAUCUUUAGCAAUGGGGGAAACCCUGACUAUGCGACGCCGCGUGAGCGAUGAAGAUCUUCGGAUUGUAAAGCUCUGUCAGCCCUGAAAAAUAUCAUCACGUUAACAGCGUGAUGGCUUGAUUGUAAGGGCAGAGGAAGCCACGGCUAACUCCGUGCCAGCAGCCGCGGUGG
rnacentral:rRNA from 1 species